AACGAACGCUGGCGGCAUGCCUAACACAUGCAAGUCGAGCGGAAAGGCCCUUCGGGGUACUCGAGCGGCGAACGGGUGAGUAACACGUGAGUAAUCUGCCCUUCACUCUGGGAUAGCCACCGGAAACGGUGAUUAAUACCCGAUACGACCACCGUGGGCAUCCACUGGUGGUGGAACCUUUUUUGGGUGGGGGAUGGGCUCGCGGCGUAUCAGCUUGUUGGUAGGGUAAUGGCCUACCAAGGCUUCGACGGGUAGCCGGCCUGAGAGGGUGACCGGCCACACUGGGACUGAGACACGGCCCAGACUCCUACGGGAGGCAGCAGUGGGGAAUAUUGGACAAUGGGCGGAAGCCUGAUCCAGCAACGCCGCGUGAGGGAUGACGGCCUUCGGGUUGUAAACCUCUUUCAGCACCGACGAAGCGCAAGUGACGGUAGGUGCAGAAGAAGGACCGGCCAACUACGUGCCAGCAGCCGCAGUAACAC
rnacentral:rRNA from 1 species